rnacentral:rRNA from 1 species
GGUCAAUGGGUGAGAGCCUGAACCAGCCAUGCCGCGUGCAGGAAGACGGCCUUCUGGGUUGUAAACUGCUUUUGUCAGGGGAUAAAACGCCCAUGCGUGGGAGAUUGAAGGUACCUGACGAAUAAGCCACGGCUAACUACGUGCCAGCAGCCGCGGUAAUACGUAGGUGGCGAGCGUUGUCCGGAUUUAUUGGGUUUAAAGGGUGCGUAGGCGGCCUUGUAAGUCAGUUCUGAAAUAUCCCGGCUUAACCGGGAGGGUGGGAUUGAUACUGCAGGGCUUGAGUAGAGUCGAGGUAGGCGGAAUUGACGGUGUAGCGGUGAAAUGCUUAGAUAUCGUCAAGAACACCGAUAGUGUAGACAGCUUACUAGACUCAAACUGACGCUGAGGCACGAAAGUGUGGGGAUCAAACAGGAUUAGAUACCCUGGUAGUCCACACUGUAAACGUUGAUUACUCGCUGUGUGCGAUAUACAGUACGCGGCUUAGCGAA